GUGGGGAAUCUUCCGCAAUGGACGAAAGUCUGACGGAGCAACGCCGCGUGAGUGAAGAAGGUUUUCGGAUCGUAAAGCUCUUUCGUCAGGGACGAACGUAUUUCUUGUAAAUAAUGAGAGAUAGUGACGGUACCUGAAUAAGAAGCCACGGCUAACUACGUGCCAGCAGCCGCGGUAAUACGUAGGUGGCAAGCGUUGUCCGGAAUUAUUGGGCGUAAAGCGCGCGCAGGCGGGAUAUCAAGUCUGUCUUAAAAGUGCGAGGCUCAACCUCGUGAGGGGACAGAAACUGGUAUUCUUGGGUGUCGGAGAGGAAAGUGGAAUUCCAAGUGUAGCGGUGAAAUGCGUAGAGAUUUGGAAGAACACCAGUGGCGAAGGCGACUUUCUGGACGAUGUCUGACGCUGAGGCGCGAAAGCUAGGGGAGCGAACGGGAUUAGAAACCCGGGUAGUCC
rnacentral:rRNA from 1 species